rnacentral:piRNA from 1 species
UGCUGAUUGGUGUGUUUACAAACCUCGAGC